UACGUAGGGUGCAAGCGUUGUCCGGAAUUAUUGGGCGUAAAGAGCUCGUAGGCGGUCUGUCGCGUCGGCUGUGAAAUCCCGGAGCUCAACUCCGGGUCUGCAGUCGAUACGGGCAGACUGGAGUUCGGCAGGGGAGAACGGAAUUCCUGGUGUAGCGGUGAAAUGCGCAGAUAUCAGGAGGAACACCGGUGGCGAAGGCGGUUCUCUGGGCAUGUCCUGACGCUGAGGAGCGAAAGCUAGGGGAGCAAACAGG
rnacentral:rRNA from 1 species